rnacentral:sRNA from 1 species
CGAAGAAAAUGCAUCCACGUCAACUCCCAGUUCAACCCUGGUGCGUCCUAUCAGAAGCCGGAGAGCCCUCCCACCCUUGAGGACCAGGUCAAAGAGUGACCCUGUGCUCCAUCAUUCUGAGGAGAGAGAAAAUUAUAAAAAAUAAACUAAAGGAAGAAAAUUAAAAUCUCCUGUAACUCCACCAGCACCAGCUUCUUCUUGUGAAGUAGUCUAGCAGAGUUGACCUCUGCUGUUCUAAAACACCUAUGCAAAUAAAACUUCGAUAAUCCUCCACCCUGCUCUCUCUAAGGUCCUGUCUUGAGGCCUUGCAGUCUCGGUUCUGCCUCUCUGACAGUGUGUGUUAUUUGCCAGAGCUCUGGACUGACCAUGUGCAAGCCAGAGAGAACAUUCCUCUUGUCUCUACAGCAGCUUCUAAGUGGAGAAGAAGUCCUGCCGCCUGGUACUGAGCGUGUCUCUGAAACACAGUGGCCGGGCAGCCUGGCUUCUGAUUCCCAAGACCUGCCUUCACUGUGGGUCUCCUACACCCUUCCUGGCAAGUUGAGGACUCCAGCCUCAACGGGAACUUAGCUGUUUGCACAGCUUAGGGAAAUCUUUCCAGAACCCCUUCUCAUUCUGCAGACCUGCGGGGGCAAGAACAGCAGCUGCUGGAGCCCUCCAUUGUGGAAGGCGCCAGGUUGCCUUCAAGUGGAAGAGUGGAGACCCUGACUCUGUCCUCACACAUGAGUGUCUUUGGCGAGUGCUUCUGGAAGACUCUUGCUGUCUGUGACGUGCAUAUGGCUGCCUGAGAGGACAGUCUCGAAUCCUGGUUUAGAGCUCCCCACACCUGCCUUUCUCCAGAGGAAAAGGGGUGCUCCCCUUCUUCCACCUGCUCUCUCGCCCCCUGCUUCUUGUCUUCUUUGAAUUUCUAAAUUGCUGCCUAUCAGGCCUUCAUAGACUGAAGAUGCCAGGUUGUGUAUGCUGAAGGCUGCUGGCUGACUUCUGGACACAUAAUGACCAGAUCUGAGUUUUGCUUCACACACUUCACAGUGCAGAAGCAUUCUGCUGGUCUUUACACCCUUGCUGAUAUAGGUAGCCAUGGAAAUUAGAGCCUGCAGUGGAUUUCCCAGGCUCUCUGUUGACUUCCAGAAUGAUGUGUACUUUUUCUGCACCUAAAUUUCUCUUUUGGUAAUAGCUAUAGAUCUACCUCAUAUCCAUGGUGUGAGCAUCGAUAACACAAGUCAGUACAACGUCCUUGAGGACGUUUGGGACAAAGCUGCCCCAGUGCUCAGCUGUGAAGCUGCAACACAGACUGAAAGGAGACUGGAUCUGGCUGCAGUGACUCUGAGGAGAGGCUUGAGAUCUAGAGCUUCGCGAUGCAGACCGCGGUCUUUGAUAGAUUACAAAUCCUACAUGGACACCAAGCUGCUGGUGGCGAGGUUCCUGGAGCAGUCCUCUUGUACCAUGACCCCAGACAUCCAUGAACUUGUAGAAAACAUUAAAUCUGUUUUGAAAUCUGAUGAGGAGCACAUGGAGGAAGCCAUCACAAGUGCCAGUUUUCUAGAACAGAUAAUGGCCCCAUUGCAGCCCAGCACAUCCAGGGCCCACAUGCUGCCCUCGCGGAGACAGCCUGGCCUGCUGCACCUCCAGAGCUGCGGCGACCUUCACACCUUCACACCAGC